GGUAUCUGCCCUGCACUCUGGGAUAAGCCUGGGAAACUGGGUCUAAUACCGGAUAGGACCAUGCUUUAGUGUGUGUGGUGGAAAGUUUUUCGGUGUAGGAUGAGCCCGCGGCCUAUCAGCUUGUUGGUGGGGUAAUGGCCUACCAAGGCGGCGACGGGUAGCCGGACUGAGAGGUUGGUCGGCCACAUUGGGACUGAGAUACGGCCCAG
rnacentral:rRNA from 1 species